CGCCGAGGGGAGAGAACCGAUAAACAAACAGAGAACUACCGCCGGCCGCCCAGGAUGUUUAUCUUUCACAACAAUGAAGCUCGGUGGGACCGGUCCAGACUCUUCGCUUGAGGAGUUCACAGCCAAACCUCCAGGAUAUUUAAACUGUGGGUUCCUUAUAAUGCAAGAAAUACUCGACUUGUUCAAAAGCAAUAAAAUACCCAUGAAUACGAGAUAUUUAGAGAUGUUUACGGUCACUCCUCUGCAUUGUGGAGGUUAGUUUACGGCUCAUCUAUGGAUUACACUCCUCUUUUUGAUUCUUUACUUCGUUUUGUUUCUAUGCCAUUUGGCUUUUUGAAUAAUACAGAAAGAAAGAGUAAUCACAUUUGCAUUAUUCCAAACAAAUAUGAGCAAAAGGUGCACAUGAGAGCAACAGUUCAUCCCUAAUAGAUAGUAAGAUAAUUUUUGAUAAUAUAUGUAUUAAUGAGGAGUUAAAUAUCUGUAUAAGAGUUCCUUUCAAAACACUGGAACAAAUGGAAAGAUUAAAGCUCAAGAAGCCGAGUUACGUUGUCAUCUUGAACUUUGAUAAUUUAUUAUAUAUUCAUGGUUAUAGCUACGUAUUUAAUUUAAGAGCGUUGUCGACGUUGCAUCAGUAUAAUCUAAACCAGACUUACUCAACAGGCGGCCCGCGGACGCUUAUUUUGUGGCCCCCGACAUGCCUGGUUAUGAAUGCAUAAUAAUUAUAAUUAGCCAACCAAAAUCGUGUGAAAAUUAGGUAGUGCGCCUUUAAUUUAACCCUCUGAAAACGAAGCCCGCUACAGUGCGUUUUGACAGCUUUAUGUUUUUAAAAUCUGUAUAUCUCCGCGACAAUACGUCGUCGAGAUACGUUUAAAAUACUGGAUGAAUCCGGAGGAUUUCCUCUUCCGUUCAUUUCUCUACCGUAAGCUCCUCUGCGAUUCACAGAGAAAGAUAGGGGGACGAACGUGUCGGGUGACGCGGCACCGACUAGUGUGAUUUGCCAAUGCGGUUGUCCGUCAACAUUUUGCGGAGAAGAACAACCAAUGAACACUCAAGAAAUCACAAGGACCUACCCACCUCCCAGGUGGAGCUCAUUAGCAGUCUGUCAGUCAGAGAAGCCAGAGAACACGGCGCGAACGGACUUCAAGAUUUCAAGAUUCAAGAUUCAAGAUGUUUUAUUUGUCACAUACACACACAGGGUGUGCAGUGAAAUGAAAGUGGCAAUGGAAGCAGCUGCAGCGACUUUGGCGAGCAGCGCGGAGCCUCAGAGGAGCUCCAGAGCCACGAGGAGGAACACGCAGCCAGAAGAGAUCCACUUGGACCGGAGAGGAUUCACCAGCACCUGCAGUGCAGCCUGCAGAUCCACCUGCAGCCCCACCUGCAGCUCUACCUGUCCGGCCAGCAAUGGUCUCGUGCCCCGGAGGACCAUGACACGAUGACAUGAUGCCAUUAUAGUGAAGCCAUAUUGUAAAUAUUCUGUAUCAAUAUUUGUGUUCUGUUUUCUAUUUCUCAACAUGAAUAUUAUGGAGAAUAUGUUUACUUUUUGUAAUGUAUAAUACAUUUAUUUGAAGAAGAAAAAAUGUAAAUGGUCAUUUUUUAUUUGCACACACCCCAUGAAACUUUAUCUGCAAUAUUAAGUCAUUUCUCAGUCCCAUCUUUAUCAUUUUGGUGAAUGUGUGACGGACCACAUCAUUUCUACUCAAAAAACGAUAAUACAAAAUGUGGUUUUUGACAUCUUUACAUGUAUCUAGCAUUGUAUUCAGAUAUUUCACUGCUUUUGUGAACCUAUGACCUUUGGUAAACCAAUUUUAAACACCAAAACAGUUGGUCCACAUGAGUAAAGGUGUGUUUUCAGAAGAGAUAUGAAGAAUUUUUAGAAAUCGAACUUACAUUUUCAGCUUUAGGGCCAUAUUUUUUCUUUCCACUUGUACCUGAGGUCAAUUGUGCCUCAUUAUAUAGAGAGCUGAGAUUGUUCUGGAAUUUUUGAUGUAUAACACAUGGGUAUGUGUCAUAUGCAAAAGCCUUUUAAAGGUGAAUUUAAUUUUGUUUGUAAAAUCGAGUCGAAAGGGCUGCGUUUGAGGAACAACUCAUAGAGCUGCAGCACAACAACAUCCUCAAAGAAAGACACAAGGAGGAGAGCAUUGACACAUUCUGGAUAUCCUGUGUUCUGAGGAACACAAACCCUGCAUUAAUCCUGUGUGCUCAGAAAAUCCUGACCUGCUUUGGAUCUACUUAUGUGUGUGAAAGCUCCUUCUCUGCCAUGGGAAUAAUAAAAUCAAAGCAGCGUUCCCGUCUAACUGACAGACGUUUGGCAGACUAUCUCAGAGCAGCUACAACUGAGCAACAACCAGAUCUGAAAGGACUUGUGAAAAGAAUGCACACUCAGAGCUCUCACUAGGAAUAAGUAAACAGUUGUUUGUUAUAUUGUUAUUAAUAUUUGUGAAAUGCAGACUCAGAGCUCUCAAUAGGAAAAGUAGCAAUUGCAAACUUUAUCAAUGUCAUCAAUGCAAAGCUAUUCACUCCAAUGUUAAUAAAACAUCAGCUUGACCAACACUUGUCAUCCUUGGAAAAGCAGUCGCUUCACUACAUUUGUUACUGAAACUAGGAAUAUUUGUUAAAUAUUCCAUGAUGCUUUGGAAUGCAUUAAAAAUGACUAGCAAGACAGCAUAUUAAACAGCAGUAGUAAAUACAGUGAAUAAAAUGGUACAAAUAUAUGUUAAUAAUAAUUUGUGGCCCUUUGCACCUGUUGUGGUUUAAAUGUGGCCCUCUUGGCCUCCGAAGUUGAGUACCCCUGAUCUAAACCCUCUAUGUGGUUCUCCAACUUGCCCGAGCCCAGGACCUUUUCUUACCGCCGUACAUUUUAAUAGGACGUGGAAAAAAAACAAAAAAAACACCAACGCCGCUCUGCAACGCCGCGUCAUAUUCCUCGUGUUUCAGCGGCUGCAUUCGGAUAUCGAUCUGGCUUUUUCUUUUUGCAUUAGAGCAGUGGUGCCAGGGUUACGGCCCUCGGGCCGGACUCGGGCCGACUGUACGUCACACCCGAUCCGCGGGUGAUAAGUAGGGUUGGGUACCGGAAUCCGGUGCCACAUUACAACCGGUAAUACCCGGACCAAAACGCAACGCACAUUCCGGUGCCUGAGCCGAUUGAAAUUGAAAAAAACUAUUGUUGUGAACUUCUCAGGUGACUCCGCCCUGUCAGCCGGUUACGAGCCUCUCAUAUUUAACUCUGACAGCGGAGGCUGCGCCGUGUGGAGCACACCAGCGUCAGGCUGGGCGCGAUCACGUGGAGACCGAUGAUGACGAGCAGCCUUAACUCAGAUUAGUACCGUAUCGUUGAUUGCAAGUCUUGCAUUCAUAAAAGUAGCCCAAGAAAUAAUAAAUUAGCCAUUAUAACCAUGUUUAAGCUAGCUCGCAUGUAGCGCUAGCUACGAGCUACGAGCGUGACAGUCUGCUAGCAGGUGUGUUGGUGUCCAGCGGUCCCGGCUGUUUACCCGGUGUUACCGGGAAUAUAAUGACGGAGGAAUGAAGACCGUGGGGCGUCACUUUGUUUCAGUGGAACUCUCGCUGUCAGAAGCAAAACUGUAUGUGUCACGUGUCAUCUUCAGUCCCUCUGAUUGGUUGUUCUCUUUGCCCAUCAACACAGUGACAGGAUUAACCCUAUAAGGUCUGCACAUGACAAUACAUAUCACCUCAUAUAAUGGAGAACAUAUCUUGUGUAUGUUAACAGUCUGAUAUCCGUUGUGUGUCGGUGCUCCAUGAUAACGGCUUCUUCAGGGAAUAUGGCCAAAGAGGUUUUUAAUGUCCUCAUUGUGCGUUUAAAAAAAAAAGUAUCGGUUCAGGCACCGGUAUCGUUUUAAAAGUACCGGUUUAGCACCGGUAUCGGAAAAAACCCAAACGAUACCCAUCCCUAAAGGGGAGGAUAUAUAUAUUAUUUUUUAAGAUAAUUUUUUUACAUUUCGGUGGAAUCUGUCAGUUGGUCUGUUGCUUCUUCCCGCCUCAGCUGAAGCAGCCCCGGUCGUGCUGAUCGAGAUGUCGUUUUCAAAAAAGAGGAAGGUUGACACUGAAGGUCGCAUCUUUCAGGAAAGAUGGAAGGAACAGUAUUUAUCUUGGGAAGUAGGAGGCAAACCCGUGUGUCUUAUUUGUUCUCAACAAGUGGCUGUAGCUAAGGAGUAUAACAUAGCUGGUGAUAUGAAUUGUUAUAUGAAUUUGAUGACAUCAGUGUGCUUUGUUGAUAUGAAUUGUUAUAUGAAUUUAUCUCAUGUGAGUGUGGGGGGUUAUGAUAUGUUUGGGAUAUGUCAUCCCAACUUAAACCAAUACAAAAUAAAUACUAAAAAAAUAUAAUAAAACCGUUUACACUUGUGUUAUUUAUAGGAAAUGUGUUUUGUUGGCACCUAGUCUAUUUUGGUGCAUUUCUAAUUUAUAUAUGUAGGCUACUUGCAUGGAUAGGAAAAUGUUAUGUUUUUAGAGGGUAACUGUCUCCUGCUUUAGGCUAUGUAAUUGUAGGCCUCCUUGUGAGGCAAUUUUGGUGCCAAUGCAAUUUCUUAAUGAUGUGUAGGCAGGGUUUUUCCUGCAUAGAGAAAAUUUGGGCGCGCGCCUAAGCCGUUUUCCCGAGCGCCUAUGACAAAUCCCGAGCGCCUAAGGCAAAAAAAAUGUCCG